rnacentral:rRNA from 1 species
AACGAACGCUGGCGGCAUGCCUAACACAUGCAAGUCGAACGAGACCUUCGGGUCUAGUGGCGCACGGGUGCGUAACGCGUGGGGACCUGCCCUUAGGUUCGGAAUAACUCCCCGAAAGGGGUGCUAAUACCGGAUAAUGUCUUCGGACCAAAGAUUUAUCGCCUUUGGAUGGGCCCGCGUUGGAUUAGCUAGUUGGUAGGGUAAAAGCCUACCAAGGCGACGAUCCAUAGCUGGUCUGAGAGGAUGAUCAGCCACACUGGGACUGAGACACGGCCCAGACUCCUACGGGAGGCAGCAGUGGGGAAUAUUGGACAAUGGGCGAAAGCCUGAUCCAGCAAUGCCGCGUGAGUGAUGAAGGCCUUAGGGUUGUAAAGCUCUUUUACCCGGGAUGAUAACGACAGUACCGGGAGAAUAAGCUCCGGCUAACUCCGUG